rnacentral:rRNA from 1 species
GAUGAACGCUGGCGGCGUGCCUAAUACAUGCAAGUCGAGCGAACAGACGAGGAGCUUGCUCCUCUGACGUUAGCGGCGGACGGGUGAGUAACACGUGGAUAACCUACCUAUAAGACUGGGAUAACUUCGGGAAACCGGAGCUAAUACCGGAUAAUAUUUUGAACCGCAUGGUUCAAUAGUGAAAGACGGUUUUGCUGUCACUUAUAGAUGGAUCCGCGCCGCAUUAGCUAGUUGGUAAGGUAACGGCUUACCAAGGCAACGAUGCGUAGCCGACCUGAGAGGGUGAUCGGUCACACUGGAACUGAGACACGGUCCAGACUCCUACGGGAGGCAGCAGUAGGGAAUCUUCCGCAAUGGGCGAAAGCCUGACGGAGCAACGCCGCGUGAGUGAUGAAGGUCUUCGGAUCGUAAAACUCUGUUAUUAGGGAAGAACAAAUGUGUAAGUAACUAUGCACGUCUUGACGGUACCUAAUCAGAAAGCCACGGCUAACUACGUG